rnacentral:rRNA from 1 species
GUGAGGAAUAUUGGACAAUGGGCGCAAGCCUGAUCCAGCCAUGCCGCGUGCAGGAAGACGCAUCUAUGGUGUGUAAACUGCUUUUGUACGGGAAGAAACACUCCCUCGUGAGGGAGCUUGACGGUACCGUAAGAAUAAGGAUCGGCUAACUCCGUGCCAGCAGCCGCGGUAAUACGGAGGAUCCAAGCGUUAUCCGGAAUCAUUGGGUUUAAAGGGUCCGUAGGCGGUUUAAUAAGUCAGUGGUGAAAGCCCAUCGCUCAACGAUGGAACGGCCAUUGAUACUGUUAGACUUGAAUUACAAGGAAGUAACUAGAAUAUGUAGUGUAGCGGUGAAAUGCUUAGAUAUUACAUGGAAUACCAAUUGCGAAGGCAGGUUACUACUUGUGGAUUGACGCUGAUGGACGAAAGCGUGGGGAGCGAACGGGAUUAGAUACCCUAGUAGUCC